UGGGGAAUUUUGGACAAUGGGGGCAACCCUGAUCCAGCCAUGCCGCGUGUGUGAAGAAGGCCUUCGGGUUGUAAAGCACUUUCGGCCGGAACGAAAUCGCGCGGGCUAUUACCCCGCGUGGAUGACGGUACCGGAAGAAGAAGCACCGGCUAACUACGUGCCAGCAGCCGCGGUAAUACGUAGGGUGCGAGCGUUAAUCGGAAUUACUGGGCGUAAAGGGUGCGCAGGCGGCGUCGCAAGUCAGGCGUGAAAUCCCCGGGCUUAACCUGGGAAUUGCACUUGAAACUACGAUGCUGGAGUAUGGCAGAGGGAGGUGGAAUUCCACGUGUAGCGGUGAAAUGCGUAGAGAUGUGGAGGAACACCGAUGGCGAAGGCAGCCUCCUGGGCCAAUACUGACGCUCAUGCACGAAAGCGUGGGGAGCAAACAGG
rnacentral:rRNA from 1 species